GAGGAAAAGAAACUAACAAGGAUUCCCCCAGUAACGGCGAGUGAAGCGGGAAGAGCUCAAGCUUAAAAUCUCCAUACUUGUAUGGCGAAUUGUAGUCUAUUGAGGCUGUUGUCAGCAUCGCGAUUGGGGACAAGUCCCUUGGAAAAGGGCAGCAUGGAGGGUGAUACUCCCGUCUCUGCUCCAAUCUGCGGUGUGUACGAUACGCUUUCUUUGAGUCGAGUUGUUUGGGAAUACAGCUCAAAGUAGGUGGUAAAUUCCAUCUAAAGCUAAAUAUUGGUGCGAGACCGAUAGCGAACAAGUACCGUGAGGGAAAGAUGAAAAGAACUUUGAAAAGAGAGUUAAAGAGUACCUGAAACUGUUGAAAGGGAACCGUAUCGUUUCCAGUGUUGUAUCCUAUGCAUAUUUCAUUCGUGGAGUAAUUUACGGGUGCCCUGUGCAUGGGUGUGACGUCAGGGUCAGUUUGUAUGCUGCGGGAGAUGGUCAGUGAGGAGGUGCGUCACUUCGGUGAAAGUUAUAUCUCGCUGUCUAGUAGCCGUGGUUGAGACUGAGGUGCCUACAACAUGCCUUAAGGUUCUAUGUUGUCUCGUGUUGGUGACUGCUUUGAUAGCUUGCUAUGUCUGUGGUUUAUUAAUGCGAUUGAUGAUGUGGAUAACUUUUGCUGUUCGGGACUCUGGCGAAAUGGAGCGAUAC
rnacentral:rRNA from 1 species